rnacentral:rRNA from 1 species
GAUGAACGCUGGCGGCGUGCCUAAUACAUGCAAGUCGAACGCGCAGCGAAAGGUGCUUGCACCUUUCAAGCGAGUGGCGAACGGGUGAGUAACACGUGGAUAACCUGCCUCAAGGCUGGGGAUAACAUUUGGAAACAGAUGCUAAUACCGAAUAAAACUUAGUAUCGCAUGAUACAAAGUUAAAAGGCGCUACGGCGUCACCUAGAGAUGGAUCCGCGGCGCAUUAGUUAGUUGGUGGGGUAAAGGCUUACCAAGACGAUGAUGCAUAGCCGAGUUGAGAGACUGAUCGGCCACAUUGGGACUGAGACACGGCCCAAACUCCUACGGGAGGCUGCAGUAGGGAAUCUUCCACAAUGGGCGCAAGCCUGAUGGAGCAACGCCGCGUGUGUGAUGAAGGCUUUCGGGUCGUAAAGCACUGUUGUAUGGGAAGAAAUGCUAAAAUAGGGAAUGAUUUUAGUUUGACGGUACCAUACCAGAAAGGGACGGCUAAAUACGUGCCAGCAGCCGCCGCGG